rnacentral:rRNA from 1 species
GAUGAACGCUGGCGGCGUGCAUAACACAUUCAAGGUCGAACGGGGUAAUCCUUCGGGAUUACUUAGUGGCGAACGGGUGAGUAACGCGUGAAGAACCUGCCUUUCAGUGGGGGACAACAGUUGGAAACGACUGCUAAUACCGCAUAAUGUUAUUUGGGGGCAUCCCUGAAAUACCAAAGCUUUAUGUGCUGAAAGAUGGUCUCGCGUCUGAUUAGCUAGUUGGUGAGGUAACGGCUCACCAAGGCGACGAUCAGUAGCCGGUCUGAGAGGAUGAACGGCCACAUUGGGACUGAGAUACGGCCCAGACUCCUACGGGAGGCAGCAGUGGGGAAUAUUGGGCAGUGGGGGAAACCCUGGACCCAGCAACGCCGCGUGAAGGAAGAAGGUUUUCGGAUUGGUAAACCUCUAGUCCUAAGUGAAGAGAAGAAGACGGUAGCUUAGGAGGAAGCCCCGGCUAACUACGUG